GGACCGGCUCUGUGCCCGGCCAGGACCGGCGCUCCCCACCCGCACCCGCCGGGCGGCUCGGAGCCCUCACGGCCCGGGCCCGCGGCGGCCGCACCGCGGCG
rnacentral:lncRNA from 1 species